GAUGCGACCUCAGCUCAGGCGGGGCUACCCGC
rnacentral:rRNA from 1 species